UACGGAGGGUGCAAGCGUUGUCCGGAUUUAUUGGGUUUAAAGGGUGCGUAGGCGGCUGAUUAAGCCAGCGGUGAAAGACUUCGGCUUAACCGGAGCAGUGCCGUUGAUACUGAUUGGCUUGAGUGUUGGAGGGGUACAUGGAAUUGAUGGUGUAGCGGUGAAAUGCAUAGAUACCAUCAGGAACACCGAUAGCGAAGGCAUUGUACUGGCCAACAACUGACGCUGAGGCACGAAAGUGUGGGGGAUCGAACAGGAUUAGAUACCCCGGUAGU
rnacentral:rRNA from 1 species